rnacentral:rRNA from 1 species
AACGAAUCGAAUGGGGAGAUAUCGUAGCGGCGUUGGCUCGCGUAGUUACGUGAUGUUAGAGGUACCACAUCGGUUCCGCUUCACGCGACCGGCGCGUAAAGUCCGACGUCGUCGGCGUGCACUUCUCCCCUAGUAGAACGUCGCGACCCGUUGGGUGUCGAUCUACGGUCCGGGUGGGCGUCUGUCGUGUCGUUUAAAACGCGCCACGCGACAAACCCCCGGUCGCCAGAUCGGCUGCUCGGCGGUACUCGCAUGGUAUCGGGCCGCAAAAAACAUUUUGAACUGCGUCUGGCCCGUCGCAAGCGCGGUCGGUCCGCGGAGGUACGGACCUAGCGCCGUCCCCGCGCCCGGCCUGCUGUUGGCAGACGGUGACCUUUGACUGGCCAAAAAACCCCCUCGAAAGUGUGAUACCGGUCGGCGACGCUACUGCUUUGGGUAAUCUCAGGACCCGUCUUGAAACACGGACCAAGGAGUCUAACAUGUGCGCGAGUCAUUGGGACCGCAUGCCUAAAGGCGAAAUGAAAGUGAAGGUAGGCUUUAACGCCGACCGAGGGAGGAUGGGCCGUUAUUGAAUUUUUUACGGCUCCGCACUCCCGGGGCGUCUCGUUCUCAUUACGAGGAGAGGCGCACCCAGAGCGUACACGUUGGGACCGUGAGGGGG